rnacentral:rRNA from 1 species
GACGAACGCUGGCGGCGUGCUUAACACAUGCAAGUCGAGCGGAGCGGCGAACGGGUGAGUAACGCGUGAGUAACUGCCCCCCUCUCUGGGAUAACAGUUGGAAACGGCUGCUAAUACCGGAUAGUGGGGGAUGACUCGCGUCCUAUCAGCUUGUUGGUGGGGGAUGGGCCUACCACGGCGACGACGGGUAGCCGGCCGGAGAGGGCGACCGGCCACAUUUGGUUGCGGGACGGCCCAAAUGCCUACGGGAGGCAGGAGUGGGGAAUAUUGCACAAUGGGGGAAACCCUGAUGCAGCAACCCGCGUGCGGGAUGACGGCCUUCGGGUUGUAAACCGCUUUCAGCCAUUACGCGGUAGUGGCAGAAGAAGCACCGGCUAACUACGUGCCAGCAGCCGCGGUAAUUC